AAGUGCAUAUUUAUUAAAUUUUUUAUUUUUUUAGGGUUAAUUAAAAUUUUAAAUUUUUGAUUAAAUUUAUUGAAAAAAUUAUUUUUAUGAUAGUGUAGAGUAUUGUGAAAGAAAAUUUAAUUUAUUUAAAAGAAAAAUUAAUUUUUUGUACCUUGUGUGUCAGGGCUUAUUAAAAAUUAAAUUUAAAUUAAUUAUUCUCGAAUUUAAAAGAGUUAUGGUAUUAAAAUUAUUAUUAUUGAAAAAAUAAAUUUUAUAAUAUUAUAGUAAUGAAACGUUAGUCGUUUUUAAAUAUAUCUAGUUUUUUAAGAAAAAAAUUUAAUUUUAUUAUUAAUUAAUAUAAAUUUAAAUAGUUAAUUUUAUGUUAAUUAAUAUUUAAUAUUUUAAGGGAUUAGCUUUAAAAUAAAUAAUUAAUAAAUAUUAAAUUUAUAAAAGUUUUUAAUUAUAGAAAUUAUUAAAAAAAAAGUAUGUUAUAAUUUAUUUUUAAAGUUUUAUUAUUUAUAUAAUUUAUAAAUUAUUUAUUAAAAUAAAAAUUUUAAUUUUAAAAAUUAUGAAAUAAUGAUAAAAUUAGUAUAAUUUAAUUUAAAUUUAGUAUUAAAUUUAAGAUUAAUUAAAGGAAUUCGGCAAAAUAUUUUUCACCUGUUUAUUAAAAACAUGUCUUUUUGUUUAAAAUUUAAAGUCUAGCCUGCUCAAUGAAUAAUUUAAAUAGCCGCAGUAUUUUGACUGUGCUAAGGUAGCAUAAUCAUUAGUUUUUUAAUUGAAAACUGGAAUGAAUGGUUGGAUGAAAAAAUUACUGUCUUUAAUUAAAUAAUUAAAAUUUUAUUUUUAAGUUCAAAAGCUUAAAUUAAAUUUAAAGACGAGAAGACCCUAUAGAAUUUUAUAUAAAUUUUACUUUUAAUAUUUAGAAUUUAAUUUUAAAUUUAAUUUUAUAUUUGAUUGGGGUGAUUAAAAAAUUAAUUAAACUUUUUUUCUAUAUUAAUAUAAAUUAAUAGGUUUUUGAUCCUUUUUUUUGAUUAUAAGAUAAAUUACCUUAGGGAUAACAGCGUAAUUUUAUUGGAAAGUUCUUAUUGAUAAUAAAGAUUGCGACCUCGAUGUUGGAUUAAAGUUUAUAAUUGGUGCAAAAGCUAAUUUAUUAAGUCUGUUCGACUUUUAAAAUUUUACAUGAUCUGAGUUUAAACCGGUGUGAGCCAGGUUGGUUUCUAUCUUAAAUUAGUUAAUAUUUUUUAGUACGAAAGGAUUUGAAAUAUUAAAAUAUUUAUAUGAUUUGAUUACAAAU
rnacentral:rRNA from 1 species